GAUGAACGCUGGCGGCAGGCUUAACACAUGCAAGUCGAGCGGAGCGAGGGUGCUUGCACCUUAGCUUAGCGGCGGACGGGUGAGUAAUGCUUAGGAAUCUGCCUAUUAGUGGGGGACAACAUUCCGAAAGGAAUGCUAAUACCGCAUACGCACUACGGGGGAAAGCAGGGGAUCUUCGGACCUUGCGCUAAUAGAUGAGCCUAAGUCGGAUUAGCUAGUUGGUGGGGUAAAGGCCUACCAAGGCGACGAUCUGUAGCGUGUCUGAGAGGAUGAUCCGCCACACUGGGAAUGAGACACAGCCCAGACUCCUACGGGAGGCAGCAGUGGGGAAUAUUGGACAAUGGGCGGAAGCCUGAUCCAGCCAUGCCGCGUGUGUGAAGAAGGACUUUUGGUUGUAAAGCACUUUAAGCGAGGAGGAGGCUCUUAAGGUUAAUACCCUUGAUGAGUGGACGUUACUCGCAGAAUAAGCCCCGGCUAACUUUGUGCCAGCAGCCGCCGUAA
rnacentral:rRNA from 1 species